GACGAACGCUGGCGGCGUGCUUAACACAUGCAAGUCGAACGGUAAGGCCCUUCGGGGUACACAAGUGGCGAACGGGUGAGUAACACGUGGGUGAUCUGCCCUGCACUUCGGGAUAAGCUUGGGAAACUGGGUCUAAUACCGGAUAGGACCACUGCCUGCAUGGGUGGUGGUGGAAAGCUUUUGCGGUGUGGGAUGGGCCCGCGGCCUAUCAGCUUGUUGGUGGGGUGAUGGCCUACCAAGGCGACGACGGGUAGCCGGCCUGAGAGGGUGACCGGCCACACUGGGACGGAGAUACGGCCCAGACUCCUACGGGAGGCAGCAGUGGGGAAUAUUGCACAAUGGGCGCAAGCCUGAUGCAGCGACGCCGCGUGAGGGAUGACGGCCUUCGGGUUGUAAACCUCUUUCAGCACCGACGAAGCGCAAGUGACGGUAGGUGCAGAAGAAGGACCGGCCAACUACGUGCCAGCCGCCGCGGUAA
rnacentral:rRNA from 1 species